UUUGCCUACUCUUUUAAUUAAUAUGUUACCCUUUCCAUCCAUUUUAAUUUUAACACCCUGAGAAGAGUUAAAAAAAUUUACAUUAAAAUACAAUAAUUUGUUGUUAGUAUAUGGCGACUGAUUGUACCAAAGAUUAUGAGUUUAAGUUCGUUAAAUAUGUUUAUUUAUGUGUUUUACUAACUCUAACAUGUUAUAAGUUCAUUGUUUGUGCUACCAACCAGCUGACCCUAUUCUAUGGCCUGAUCUUAAUCAAUCACCAAUGAUGCAUAUUUACUAAGCUUAUUCCAUCAUUAAUUGACAUUGUAAUCAAAUGUAAAGAAUGGAUGGAAGCUUAUGAUUUACUAACUGGAAAGUAAUAUUCCCAUAUAGUGAUCGCCUUGAUGGUGGACGAUCAAUAUUCUCAAAACCUUUAAGGCCAACUCGGAUUCCAUCAAAACCAAUGUCUGAUCCAUCAACAAUGAGAAACGGUAAUCGAGCAUAAGCUUUGGCAACACGACGAUUCUUUUCCAUACAGAUUACUUUUGCCCAUAUCUCAUCGUCAAUCUGUUCCCAUUUGUUGAAUACUUCUUGAAUAUGAUCCUGAAUUGUGUGUCAAGUUAAAAGGAAAAAAUCAGGAAAUAAUCAAUCGAUGUCCAAAAAUAAUACAAAUACCAAAAACCAAAGUGCUAACCAAAACUGUUUAACCCACUGAAAACUGAUUUUACCAAAUCAUAACUGUUCCUUUAAAGGCGCUUAUAAUGUAGUAAUACCUUAAUUGUUCCAUUAUUACUAAUUGAGCAAGCUAAUUACUGGAUAAUUAUAAGGUUUCAAGUCAUUCUGCUUGUUAUUACCAUUGAAUAAGUAGUGAACGACUAUUCUAAGUUUACAUCAAGCUCGUGUUCAAAUUAUUGAAAUUAACUCUUAUCAUUUUAAUUUUAUUGUAUAUUUUGAAUAUUGUAAACAUUAUAUUACUAUGCUAAUCAGAUGCUAAUUGAUUCAACAAAGAGACAGCAAUUAUAUUUUAAAACAAUCGAAACGUAGCAAUGUUUCUAUAUUGGAUUACAUUUGUAUGGCUAAUUGUACAGCAGCUUGCAAAAUCACCUCAAGAAUCACAAAAAGAGUUGAUAAUUAAUCUAAAUCGUAUUACUUCUGCUUAUCAUAGUAAAAUUAUUCAUAAUUUAGUAAAUUCUAAUUGAUUUGGUAAAUAGCCAAUAAAUUCAGUUGGAUUUUUUACAGUUUCAGCAAAGUCAAGCAUUCUUGUUAUGGGAUACAACAAUUUAACAAUUAGCAAAGAAAAUGAUAGAUGAUUAGUAUAACCUAAUACAUGUUUACAGUACUAUUUGAAUUAUCAAGGUGUUUGGACCAAUCUGAUUUGAAUAAUGACCAAAAUGAGAAGGAAAACAAAUAAUGGUUAACAUUCAGAUCAGUAAAACCAACCGAGUCUUGAUUGCUUCAAUCUUGUAACGAUAUCUUGAUUGUGAGCUCAGGAGUGGUCGAUAUCAUUACAUAUAUGUAUAAUGUUAUUGUCAAUUCAUUUUAUCGUAAUAAUUGUUGGCUUCAUCAUCAAAAACAAAUGAUGAAAAAGCUUCCUAUGUGGCUGUUGAGUGACCAAAGUGAAAUAUUUUGACUGGACGCCGAUUGUGGGAAGCUGAUAGCUCACGACUUUGACCUCAAAUGAGUAAAAGUAAAUCAUUCCUGUAUCAACCUCCUGUUGAUUUUUGAAAAUGCAACCAAUCAAGCAAAUCAGAUUCAAAUUUAUUAAACAAAGGUUUACUUUCUCUUGAAAAAUUAUUGAACCCGACAAUAUUGCGCCGGUAUAAACCUUUCAUCCUUUUACCUCUUCACUUACCUUUCUUUUACCUUUUUUGUUUGUUUACACUGAAUUACAUUUUAGUUGUUGAUUGGAAAGUCUGGGUUACUGUAUUAAAAAUUAACGGCAAAUUAAUAAUCAUCUAAACUGUUGGAUGAAGCUUCAGAAGUCAGGCAAAAUGGUCAGGUUAUAAGCAAGUUGAAUUAUUAAAAUGGCGAAACAAAUUUCAUUCCAUUUGAAACGCACGGUUAAAUUACUGUAACAUCUUAAUUGACAACGUGGUCAAGAACAGUUGAAAAAUUACUAAAUUGAUGAAAUAAAUUGAAUUAACAUUUGAUAUUUGUUUUUGAAAGAAAUGUAAAUGCAAAAUUAAUAGAUAAUAAUAGAUGGCGACUCUAAAGUAUCAAAAUAAAAAGCUGCGGUUAAAAUGAGCGCGAGUAAUAUUUGGCUAUUGUUUUGAUAUCUAUUGUUAUUAUUAUUAAUAUACCUUUGGAUUCUAAUUAGUUUUUAAACAAACUUUUCUUAAUUGUGAAUUUGUAAGCUGAUAUGUAAAAAUCAAUUAAGAUUUGGGUUCAUCGAGUCAUCACUUUUUUUGCAUUAUACCUUCGUUGUUUGUGUUUAUCAUUGAUUCAAAUUCACCCAAGCAUAUGUUAUUGUUUCAAUUGUACUCUCAUUGUCACCUAAUGAAAGAUUAUAAUCCUGGUUUGGAGCAUCAAGAACAAGAAAACUCAAGUUCAAAACAUGUCUGGAAAUUGUUGGUGGUACAAACCAAACUCAAUAAGUGUGAGAGUAAAAUCGAAACAAUCAACUCGAUUGAAGACUUAAAGCAAUAACAAUGGAAUUAUUCAAUAUCGAUACUUAAUUGGAACCCUUUAUUGUUUAUAAACAUUUCUGAAAUGGGAUAAGUUUUUUGUCGCAAAUCGAUUUAAGGAGAAAGAAAGGUUGGGAUUAAAGAGAACCGAUAGGAACAGUCGAGAUUAUUACCUAAAAAUAUUUGCAAGCAUUCAGUCAGGUAAAUCACUUUCAAAGCUGCUAAUGAACUAGCUUAUUAGAUUAUCUUUCAACUUGAUUGGUAAUACAAAAUUCCGCCAAAACUGGGUGAGGUAAAUCAUGUCAUUGGGCUAGUCCUGAUUUCGUAAAUUCAAAGCUAAGCUGGACAGUUGGAUUUCAUGCAAACUACAGUCGUUAUGCUCAUAAUGUCACUUCGCAGGACCAGUCUUAUUGCCAUUUACGCCGAACUUCAACGAAAAAUAGAAUUGAAACUUUUACAUUGGUGGCUAAUUUGAAACGCUUCAGUCAAGUACAUGUACCGAUCAGGUUGAAUUGAAUUGCAACAAAAAGUGUUUAGUUAAGAUGAUACAUUUUAACCCUGCUUUUUGAAAUACUUUUGAUGUCAGUGAAUUACCAAGCAAUGAAGAAACUUGGCUGAAAGUGAAAACCAAUAUCUCAUGGAAAGACUCAAUAAUGUCGGACAGGAACUAUUAACUAUUAAUGAAUCAAUUAUUCAAUUUGGAAGGAAAUGAUCAUCUUAUUUCAACACUAAAUGACAAGUUCAACCCUGACCAUUACCUUGUAUCGAAAUGAUUUGCGUUCAAAUUGACCAAGAGCAACAGACCAUCACAAUUUUCCCGUUCAUUAAUCAAGUAAAGCUAAUCAAGGAUAUUCAAUGAAUAUUAGACUGACAUCAGUUUGAAUUUAUUUGAAUUGAUUAAUUUUUAUAAGAUGGUGCUGACAAUUGAUGACAAUAAUAGAAGUUUAAAGAAAGGAAAACAUUGACUUGAAAUUCACGAUUAAGCUAUAAGAUUAUUAAUCACAUUAAUGUAAUGUAAUACCUUUACACGUAAUGUUGAUUGACAAAAAUGUGGAAACCUUGUCAGACUUGACAGACUUUUAAUAGGCAAUUAGAUAAAUUUAAUGACAACUCUUCAAUUUGUUGCAUUACAAUCAUAAAAUUGGUCCUUAACGCAAAUCAUUUUCAAUUGAAAGUAAAUAGAAAAGGUUUCAACUCGAGUAAUUAGUCCAGCAAAUUGAAUUAAAUACACACUAAAUUAACUUUGCUGAUGAGAUAAUUUUGGGUGAAAUCAAGAAUUAGAUGUUGACCGAAACAAAUUGUACUUUAAUUAACCAUCAACCUUGAAACUGAAAAUUUUGAUUACCAAUAUAAUAGUAAUAAUCUCAUUUUUUUGUUCACAUUUUUCAAUAGAUCCAGAUAAUAUAAUAGAUUGGUCAAGAUUGAAAAUACACUCGAUAAUCAAUAACAAGAAAGGAAUCCAAUUUAAAACUUUAAUCCUGUUAAAUACGAAACCUUUUCCCGUUGUUAAAUGAAUGGCAAAACAAGUGCAAUUGAAUUAACUGGUAACCCAAAAUGUUGACCAAAGGUGUGGUUAACUUAUUCACCAAUUUCCCAUUAAUAACUCAACAACGGCAACAACUGACCAACAAGCAUUAACUAAACCUUCAAUUGACUUUAAUGUUGGACUUAAAGUAUGAAAUAGUAAUUUAUAUCAACUAUUGUACAUUAAUCAGUGAAAGUUUCAAACAGAAGCAAGAUUGAAUGAGAAGAAAUGAAAACCGAGUAAAAGUGACUUUCACUUUCCACUUCCAACAUUAUCAUUAUUUAUGUAAUUAUUUAACUGAUCUUUUCUCUCCCAGUUAAUCAUUGGAAAGUUAAAUGAGCAAAUAUAUAUAAUUCAAUCUUUGACCUCUAUUUGGUUAAUACAGUUUGAAAAAUUGGCAAUCAAUUGGCCCUUAUCGAUGGCUACCAGAACCAACCUUUCUGGAUCAACCUUUCACUUUCACCAUCUUCUCAUUUAAAUAACCUUUCAUUGAGUUUUCACAAUAAAAUUGUCCUUUCACUUCACAAAUCAACCUUUUUACCUUUGAUUGAUAUUUAACAUGCCAUAAAACGUUAAUUGUAAUAAUA